rnacentral:tRNA from 1 species
GCGCCCGUAGCUCAAUUGGACAGAGUACCUGGCUUCGAACCAGGGGGUUGCAGGUUCGAGUCCUGCCGGGCGCA